rnacentral:rRNA from 1 species
UCCACGCCCUAAACGAUGAACACUAGUCGUCGGGAUGCUAGUCAUCUCGGUGAUGCACUUAACAGAUUAAGUGUUCCGCCUGGGGAGUACGGUCGCAAGAUUAAAACUCAAAGGAAUAGACGGGGACCCGCACAAGUGGUGGAGCAUGUGGUUUAAUUCGAAAAUACGCGAAGAACCUUACCUAGCCUUGACAUUGAAGAUACACGAAGAACCUUACCUAGCCUUGAUAUCCU